rnacentral:misc_RNA from 1 species
GAUGAAGAACGGAGCGAAAUGCGAUAAGUAAUGUGAAUUGCAGAAUUCAGUGAAACAUCGAAUCUUUGAACGCACAUUGCGCCCGCCAGCAUUCUGGCGGGCAUGCCUGUUCGAGCGUCAUUUCAACCCUCGAGCCCCCCCGGGGGCCUCGGUGUUGGGGGACGGCACACCAGCCGCCCCCGAAAUGCAGUGGCGACCCCGCCGCAGCCUCCCCUGCGUAGUAGCACACACCUCGCACCGGAGCGCGGAGGCGGUCACGCCGUAAAACGCCCAACUUUCUUAGAGUUGACCUCGGAUCAGGUAGGAAUACCCGCUGAACUUAAGCAUAUCAAUAAGCGGAGGA